GCUCAGUCGGUAGAGCAUGAGACUCUUAA
rnacentral:piRNA from 6 species